CCUACGGGUGGCAGCAGUAGGGAAUCUUCCACAAUGGGCGAAAGCCUGAUGGAGCAACGCCGCGUGGGUGAAGAAGGUCUUCGGAUCGUAAAACCCUGUUGUUAGAGAAGAAAGUGCGUGAGAGUAACUGUUCACGUUUCGACGGUAUCUAACCAGAAAGCCACGGCUAACUACGUGCCAGCAGCCGCGGUAAUACGUAGGUGGCAAGCGUUAUCCGGAUUUAUUGGGUUUAAAGGGUGCGCAGGCGGGGGCACAAGUCAGCGGUAAAAUCGCGGGGCUCAACCCCGCUCCGCCGUUGAAACUGUGUCCCUUGAGUGCGCGAAGGGUAGGCGGAAUGCGUGGUGUAGCGGUGAAAUGCAUAGAUAUCACGCAGAACUCCGAUCGCGAAGGCAGCCUACCGGCGCGCCACUGACAUUGAUGCUCGAAAGUGUGGGUAUCAAACAGGAUUAGAUACCCUAGUAGUC
rnacentral:rRNA from 1 species